rnacentral:rRNA from 1 species
ACUCCUACGGGAGGCAGCAGUGGGGAAUAUUGGAACAAUGGGGAAACCCUGAUCCAAGCCAAUGCCGCAGUGUGUGAAGAAGGCCUUCGGGUUGUAAAGCACUUUCAGUGGGGAGGAAAGGUUGAUGGUUAAUACCUAUCAGCUGUGACGUUACCCACAGAAGAAGCACCGGCUAACUCCGUGCCAGCAGCCGCGGUAAUACGGAGGGUGCAAGCGUUAAUCGGAAUUACUGGGCGUAAAGCGUGCGCAGGCGGUCUGUUAAGCGAG